rnacentral:lncRNA from 1 species
GAGCAGGUUUAGGAGCCGCUGGGCACUUGGCUCAGAAUCCCCGGGGCUGAGGCUCAGGUAGUUGGGGAGUAGGUGCGCGUUUAGGAACCCCGGGGAGAUGCUGCGUCUCAGGAAGUUGGGGAGGGCGCUCAGGCUUGGGACUCCUCUGGGGACAAGGCUCAGGACCUUGGGGAGGGAGUGUUCGCUGGGAAACCUUGAGAGAUUCCGUGUCUUAGAAUGCUGGAGAGAGGGUGCAUGCUUAGGACCCGUCGGGGAGCGUGGCUGACAACAGUGGGGAGUGGACCUUG